UCGGAUAUGGUGUAACGGCUAACAUUGCCGCCUCUCAUCUACCAUAACAGUUGAUGCCGCGGCAGCUCGGGGUUCGAUUCCCCGUAUCCGAA